CCUGGUGGCUCAGAGAUUAAAGCAUCUACCUGCAAGGUAGGAGACCCAGGUUCAAUCCCUGGGUCAGGA
rnacentral:tRNA from 1 species